UACGUAGGGUGCAAGCGUUAAUCGGAAUUACUGGGCGUAAAGCGUGCGCAGGCGGUGAUGUAAGACAGAUGUGAAAUCCCCGGGCUCAACCUGGGAACUGCAUUUGUGACUGCAUAGCUAGAGUACGGUAGAGGGGGAUGGAAUUCCGCGUGUAGCAGUGAAAUGCGUAGAUAUGCGGAGGAACACCGAUGGCGAAGGCAAUCCCCUGGGCCUGCACUGACGCUCAUGCACGAAAGCGUGGGGAGCAAACAGG
rnacentral:rRNA from 1 species